CUGAACCGUUGACACGAGCUGUUGCUGGCCCUCGAAAGGGGGCACGUGCACGCUCUGUUUACACAUCCACUCACACCUGUGCACCCUCUGUAGUUCUAUGGCCUUGGGGACCCUGUCCCCUUGCUGUGGUCCUACGCCUUUACACACACACCGUAACAAAGUCUCAUGGAAUGUAUGUCGCGUUUAACGCAAUACAAUA
rnacentral:misc_RNA from 1 species